GGCACAGCUGAAGAAGCAUUUCUGGACUAGCCAUGCUAUGUGGGAGAUACACACACCAGUAACAAAUUCUGAAGAGGAAAAGAUACAGAGCAAGUUGUCUCCAGGCCAUACCGCCGUUUAUGGUGAAGUCUUAAAAAAGAUGUACUUUGCUUCAGACCUUGGACCAAAUAUUCAGUGCUACGUGAAAAGAAAGGCAUUCCCAGAGAGAGCUGUUCCCUUUCCAUACCUGGGAUUUUUUCCUAGGAAGGGAAUGAUUUCUGACAGAACUAUCUGGUGGAAAGGGCAGCCUUAGGAAUAAAGCACUGAGAAAAUCACAAGAGGAGCUAAAGGAACAAAUUGAAUUUCAGCUGGAAAACUGUGAGAGGUCUGCAUGCUUUGAGGAAGUUUGUAAUCUACCAACUGUCAUAAAGAAGGAAAUAAAUAGAACAACACAGUGUUAAUAACUUAUUUUCCUAUCCAAAUCCAGUAUUAGAUCAUUUAAAAUUAGUGAAUAAGGUAUCAAGUCACAGACAAGCAUGAUGAAAUGCUACUAGAGAGCUUCGAAUCAAUGAGAGUGAAACAGCUGAGGAAAGAAUACUGUCAGAGGAGAUAGAAAUCACAGAUUUCAGUCUGCUCUGUAAAGGGAAAAUGGAGACAGCAGGGAAGUACAGUUGAAGAAGCAGUGGGUGUGAAAUGAAUGAGCAGCAAGCAGACUUUAUUUGAGAAAACAAAGGAGAGCAUGUAGAAAUAGAUGAAUAAAGUAGUACUUGUUUAGAAAUGAAUCAGGUGAGUUGCACAGCUAGACUUAAAAGGAUGAAACAUCUAUUUCCCCAUAUUUCUUUCCCAUUUAUCUUCAUAUUCCACUUUCUGACCAAUACUUAUAUGAUUCAAAACUGUUGUACCUACAUCAUAUAA